UUGGUGGGCGUCCCAUCCAGCCCUAG
rnacentral:misc_RNA from 1 species